rnacentral:sRNA from 2 species
UAAGCACCUCGUUAGGUGAGGCGUCUACACGGAUACAGGCCACUGACCCCGAACGUCGAGAGACGCCCAGGGUCAGGACAGCUCCUCCCGGCUUAAGGGUUGAGCCCAAGUGGCUUCCGGAAUCUUCCGGAUACGCCGUGUAGUGCCGAAACUCUGACGAGUGGGGUGCGGA